rnacentral:tRNA from 1 species
GGGGCUAUAGCUCAAAAUGGCAGAGCGCUUGCAUGGCAUGCAAGAUGUUGGCGGUUCGAUUCCGCUUGGCUCCA